CACCCCUGGCCUGUUUUCCCUGGCCUGCUACAGGGAGCAGCGUUCUUGUUGCUAACAGUCCUGGGCUGCCUGAGGGCUGGCAAAGGCACCUCAUGGGCUGAGAAGGGAGGAGCAGAAGGCAGCAGAGAAACACAGGAAAGGCUACUUUAGUCUUCCCUCUCCUGUUAUACAAAACCUUCCCCUCUCCAUAGGCUUGGCUCUGAUGCCCAGGACAACUGUGUUGUCAUCUUAUUGCAGGGGUUCCAUACUGUCAUCUCCUUAUCACAAAAGUUCCAAACCUUCUUGGUGGCUCUUGUUGGCUGCUCCUUCAAGCACUGCUCUUACUUCUUCACAAAGCAGCCAACUGACUUCAAUUCCCUUCUCAACCAGCCACCCCACUCUUUUAUAGCAUCUUUUUCUCAUUGGUCACAGCUGUGGCCUGGUAAAGUCGGGCCUGCUCCUAAUAAUUGAUAAUUGGCCCAGCUGCAACUCCUUAGGGGGAAGAUUACUGUCUACACUGUCUUUAUUUCCUUAUAUUCUAUCCCCCUACACACCUGGGUUGGUGCACCAAAGGCACUGGUGAAGGCUUUACGCAGCAUGACUGGGUGAAGCAGACAGCAAGCACACAGGUGCUCGCCAUGCCCAGGAGGUGUGUGCUUCCUUCUUCAUCAUCUGCCAGAAAAAAUUGAAGACCCCCCCAAAAGCCUCCUUGAAGACCUCUGUGACUAGUAGAUGAGCAACAUAAUCUUCCAUGAAUUCCAGUACAUCAAAGAAAUAUUAGCACCGAGGCUCUACAUUUUUUCCCUUGGAAAGAAUUUGAUUAGGUUUAAUAUGGCCUGGAUUUGUCAAAGCCUGACUUCUGUUCCUUGCUCUUGUGUAGAUGUAAAUUAAGCACAAUGUAAAUCAAACACAAUGUAAAUUAAAUACAAAACUGCUGAAUUAGAGUUUGCAGAUAGGGAAUUAUGCAAUAGGGAUUAUAAUGCAAAAUGAGUCUGUAAGGAAAAAAUUACUGUGGAAUAUUUACUGUCUUUUAAAACAGGAAGGUUAGCUGCUGUUCAGUUAUUCUUAAAUCAUACUUUGUUCAGUGACAGCUUCACUUGCAGACAGCUUGACUAGAGUUCUUUACUGAUCCACACUGAGAUUAUGGGAAUGCUUUUGGAUUAACAACUCCAUCCUGGCAUCUGAAUAAUGAAUUUCUGAUUUUAGUACUCAGAAUGGAAGAAAAUGUGACUGAAAUGUGGGGUGAAAAUAUGGCUGAAAUUUGGAGUAAAAUAUGUCAAGGAGCAUUUAUAAAUACCACUUAAAAUUUUUACAUUACGAGACACACCACAUGGUAUCUUGAAAAUGAAAUUUGAUCUGUUUGAAAGUUGUUUAUGGCUUCUUUUUUUUUUCUCAUUUACAAUUUGCAAUUCCAGAUACAACAAUAAUUUGUAAGCAAGGCAUGCCCUUAAUUCAUGUACACUGUUAGUGGAUAGCUCCCUGAAUAGCAAAGCAUGAAUUUGCCUCUGAGGUUGCUUCUUUCAGAAGCUGUAUCACAUCUGAUACCAGCAACAGGAUUUGCCACUCCUAAGGCAGAAAAUGAAUGCUCAGAAUAUACCGAUCUCUCUUGGCUGAGAGCCACACUUUCAAUUUAUCAGGCAUGCUUUUCAGUAAUGGGUUAACCCUUAUAGACAGCUAAUGUUCAUUCUGCUUUUGCUGGGAUAUAUUUACAAUAAAAUAUUUUUAUCUCUCCCCUUAAAUAAGCAUAAGAAAGGCAGGAUUGUUCAAAAUAAUGGUCUAAAAGAGGAGUAAAAAUGAGAGCUCAAAAUAGGCUAAUAAAAUCCUUCUCAAAUAUGCAGAUAUCCCAGAGGAAAAAAAAGGAGGAUUUUUUUUAUAUCUGACAUUGAUAGGAAGAUUUGGUAUCACUGGUCAGCAACAAGCUAGAAAAUGUUGACAAGUACAAAGUGACUCUUGAGGCUCUGCAUGGAUUUAAAAGGGUAGAUCAUGCUUAGUAAAGUGGAUUUCAUAAAGAGGCACAGAAGUGUGUUUGUGAGUGUGUGUGCUUGUGUGCACAUGUAUACACAGCUUAAAAGAUAAUGUGAAUUUUAGCCUCAUUUUCCUGGUAAAGGUAUUCAGAAGCACCCUUGACAUUUUCAUAUGCAAUCACAUGGAGCAACAGGACAGACUCUCAGGGUCUGGGGCUGCACUCAGGGAAUGCUCACUGGAGAGUGAUAAAAUGUCUGAAGAUCCCAAAUACUCACUAUGGCCACUUCAUCAUGAUUCCCUGCCUUUAAAAGACAAAAUGUGUGAUGCUCUCCAUUAGCUACCCAGGUGUAAAAUUAGUUAAUACAGAUUGCACAUGUGCCCAGAGCUGUUUCUUCAAUGAACUUUGAGUAAGAACAGCAUUUUCUCUUGUAAUGUAAAACUGGCAAAAGUCUUCAACAUGAAUAAAAUUGUCUGUACUCCUACCCUGGCCUGUGAUGGGCACCACUUCCAACAAAGGGGCAUCCACAGUUUCUCUGGGCAGCCUGUUCUAGUGUCUCACCACACAAACUGAAGUCUCAAUAAAUAACUUAGUCUUAAUGUAGCUUCCCUUUCCAUUCAGGCCCAAGCCUGUAGAAUAAAUGUAAUUUGAAAGGAGGUGGUCUUACCCUAGACAAAGCUGAAUCUUCCUCAUAAAUGUAUACCUGUAUAAAAGAGAAAGCCUGCUCCCACAUGUGGCUCAUCAUUCCAGAUCAUUGCCCCUGCACCACUGUCCAGGCUUUGAUGGUGACUCCCCUGCAAGAAGCAGCCCCAUAAUCAGGAUAUCCCAGUGGCACACUACAGUUCAAGCAAAUAACAGGGACAGGUGAUUGCUUUCAUCUUCUCGGUUUCUGUGAUGAAGUGCAACCACAGUUUCUCUGGGCAACCUGUUCUCAUGCCUUACCACCACAAAUCAGGGUCUCAACAUAUUUGGGCUUAAUUGCCUUGCACUGUUAAUGGUUUCCAACUUACCACGUGUCCAAAAGCAGGAAGUUCUUCUAACCUCUUCUCCCUUGAGCUUUUGUUAGGUCAAAAGAGAGAAGGCAGUAAAAGACCUCCCGAAGACAAAGCAAACACUACAUAGCACGUGGAUAGGCAGACAAAACAGGUAGUUGGAGAGCUAUAUGUAGCUCAGGCAAGAUCCACUUUUUCUAAACUCUCAAUCACUUCUGCAAAACACACUUUAAUCUUCUAACUGAAUAGGUGCAACAAUAUGACUAAUAUAAAAUCUAAGCUUUUAUUGAAAAAUAAAGCUAUACAAUUCCCAAGGCAGUAGUUGCACUAAGUGGUAACACUGGAAAAAGUUCCUCUAAGCCCCUUUAGCAACAUCAUCAAAACAAAAGCAUUAAGCUAAAGGGUAGCCAUAUGUUAACCAACACUUCUCAGCCACCUUCAAAAAAAAAAAAAGAAAGAAAGAAAUCUGAAAGAAUAAGCAAUAGUGGCAUUUUGUGGCCUUCUUUUUGAUGCUGGUUAGCUUUUGGAUGAUUUUGUCAUCUAACUGGAAAGAUAAAAAUGGAGCAGUGCUAGAGAGAAUAGUGGAAGUGCAGUAGCAUGUUUAAUAUAAGGUAAAAUAAUUAAGUUAAUAGCAAUUACUGUGUAUGCCCCAAGCUGUGAUCUAAUCAGCUAUCACAACCUAAGCAGGAUUGGGCUGCAUUGGUAUUUAAGGGAGAAAUCCCAUAUGCUAUUGAAAACACAGCUGAUGAUUCAAUAGCUGUUAAGUCUCUCUUCUGAUUCACUUAGGAAAACAGAUCACACCAAGGGUUUAGAAGGAACUUUAUAUUUACUACCAAUUAGAAUAAUAGUAUUAAUAUUAAAAAGGAUGCUUGUUUUCUUGUUGUUUACUACACUACUUUCAUAGUGUAGUAGUUUCAUAGAUAUAUGGAAUAUAUCUUCAAAUUUCUACAGCAUUUUAGAGGUACUAAAUAGCAGUUGUAUUUUAUGUCUGAAGUGGUUUCUACUUUAGGGCUGGACAAAGUGAUUCUCACAUAAAUGCCAUGAGCUUUAUACACUUAACACACUUAAAUAGCACUAUUUAAAAUUUAUAAGACUCCUAUGAGACAGCAGCAAGGUCUUACCCAGAGUUCGUGCAGCCAGAAUGAAAAUCUCCCAAGCAGACGCUCAACAGCUGGAGCAUGCAUCAAUAAAUCACAUGUAAAAUGUGUAUUCCUUUGGCUGGCAAAUGAGCUGCAUGGGAAUGAGCUUCACCCUCAGACUCUAAUGUCCUCUGGGAACCAGUUCAAUAAAGUUUUAAUGUUAACAUAUACUUUUAAUACUAUUAGAACAAUACGAAUGACCAGUUAGUGAAAUAAGUGUCAUUUCAGACACCCAGACAUCAUGGAAGAACAUUUUGUGGGAACACAGCCUACAAGUUUUGGGUCUUCUAUGGAGCAUAAUGCUCUGUUACACUGGAGAAGAGGUGAUAAUUCAUUUUACAUCCUGGAGAUAAUGUGCUGAAGGGGGAAUAAAUGGACCACAUCGGUUGAGUCUGCUACACAGUGUAAGGAAUUUUAAAAACCACGUGUCUUUGCUGAGAGAUGAAGCUCUCCUGGAAUAAGUGCUACAUCUGUUAACAACAGAAGAUGAAAUCUGGGUGUAGCAAAGAAAUUUUGUUUAAAACACUAAUGACAUACAUUGUAAGUUCAGUGUGAAUAUGAGUCAAUCAGUCUUUUGUGUAUCCAGAUAUUAGACUGGCAGCAAAUAUUUGUGGCUAAGAAUGGCUUAAGCAACCAGAGAAUAUGUAAAAGUUUGUAGCUUGUUUCUAGAGCAAUCUAUCUUGAUUGCUUGAAUCUAUCAAGUCUAUCUUGAAUAUAUGUAUUAUUAGAGACCCUCCAAGAUGAGCUAAAGAAAAGAGGGAUAGUUCAUAUUUGAAAUUUUUACCUGUUUAUUUUUAGACAUGAAGGCCAAAUUUCUGGUGUAUAAUGAAGUACCUGAGUUAGAGCCAACCUGAGCCAGCAGGUCCCCAUGACAUAGCCUGGCACUAUACAAAGCCAGUAGUUCAAGGCUCAGAGAAGUUCAGAUGUGUUUGUAGAGCAUAAAUGCUUGGGGCAGUGCCAUGCCAAUGCAGCUACACAUUUCCAGAUCUGAACAGCUUCUGUGUGUUUCUGUGCACAAUAGACUCUUGUAUUCCUCAGCAGAUUAACUCCAGGAAAGCCAGUCUGGUGUCAAUAAGGCCAGAAAUCUAAGUUUUGUUACAACAUCAGCUUUGCUGCUUUUUCUUACCAAUUUCUCUGACAGUGAGUGGUGUGAAAGAGGAAUGUAAAUAUAUUGUCAAAUGUGGUUUUUAAGGUAUUCAAUAUGUACUUUCCAAUGAGUUUUAAUCUAGGAUACAGUCUUUUAUAUAUUCUGGGUAGUACAAAUUAGUAUUACAUUUGUGUUUUUCUAACCAUCAGACAAGUUAGGCAAUGUUGUGCUUUCUAUUGUAAGAUUCACUGAAGAAUAAUAGUCCAGUCCUUGGAUCCUGCAAUCUAUACUUGGUACAGGGUCUGAAGAGUCAUAUGGCAAAAAAAAAAAAAAAAAAAAAAAAAACCCAAAAAAACCCCACAAAACACAGCAGUCAAAAGUGGCUUAUCAGUCCCAAUAAAUAUUUAGGACCAAGUUGCCUUAGGGAUGGCUCUAACUUGCAUUAGCCAGUGCCCUGUCUGUGUACAUUUGCCCAUGCCCUGUGUAUGCUCAGUUGCCUUAAAGCCUGAUUGUAUUCCAGUGCAUGCACUCAGGGUGCUCUAAAUCUGCAUGUUUCACAAGCUCCUUGACUGCAUAUUUCCAGUCUUCUUGGAGAAUGCAGUGCCUUGUUGUGACACCUACUCCAGGAGCUCUCCAGAACCCGGUGGUGUAAUCCUGAUAUGGUACAAAGCAAUAAAAGUGAGGGCCUAACAAUAAGUCUCGUGGAGAAAUUCAGCUCCAGAUUAUGAAACCUAAAGACAGAUGCCUAUUUGUGAUUGUCCACAGGCAAGCAAUGUGUUUAAGCUGACAUGACAAAUCAAUGGAGUCACACACUUGUGAGAGGGAAAUUCCUUUUGGAACAGAGGACUAGGGAGGUGCUACAGACAAGCAGUUGGUGCUGAGACACACCUCCAUCCUGACCUUCCACUGCUGCUCUGGGAGGAUGUGGGGACCUCCUGGAGGUUCUGUCUCAUGUCUGCCACCACAGUGCAAAUAGCUCAGUUACAGCUCAGAUAGCACAAAAUAUUUCUGCGUGGGCAUCCCAUCCGAGUCUCCCAGCAUGGGCCAGCUGCAUUGUUCUGCAGGGUCCUGCAGUGUAUAGACCUCCACUGCCUGUAACAAGCUCUUCAAACCCACAUGUCAACAGCCAGGUAUAGGCACUUGCAAUUAGGUUUAUUAAUUAGUGUAUAAUAUCCCCAGUGGCUUCUGCGUAAAAAGGAUUAAAUGCACUAAUACCAAAGCAGUUAUUCAUGAAACACUUGAAGUCCCUGAUACAGAAAAGAUGCUUGGUGUUUCUGAAGUAAACAAAUGUGGCAACUAUUUCCCCAGCAGGGCUUAGCUGCUGAGCUGUUUUAAAUCCAGAAGACAUUGGCAAAUAAACACUUAUUUUUGUUUCUCUCUCUUCACCCAGAAGAUGUGGUGCAGCCAGGUCCUUAAAAUAGAGCAGAGCUGGAAAGGAUUUGGGGCAGCUGGAGAAACUGUCGGUGACGAGACGGCUGUACAAGCAAAUGCCUCAAAGCUGAAAUUUGUGUGAGCUAAAGGCUACAAUAAAUGAAAGAGACUCACAGAAAGUGUGAGCAUUGUCAGCAUGUUUCCUCCUCUUCUCCAUCCUUUGAAGCCAGCCAAUAUCGAGGAAAGCAGCCAGAAAGGAAAAGGAAGCAGUCUGUAUGUAUAAGCCUAACAAGCAAGCGUAAGACUUUGGGAUUUAUUUAAGAGAAUGAUGGGGAAAAAUUGUGCCAAAUCCAGUUCUCAGCAACUUCACAGCAUCAUUUCUUUUAGAAACUGGAAGAUUCAUCUUUCUGCUUGGUGUGGAAAUAAAGAUAUCAGUGAAGUACAGAGCUUUACAGGCAUGUGGAUAUCAUGGCCACCAUCAUCCUUUUCUCCCUCUGCUGGAAAGCAGCUAUUUUAUCCUGGUAAUAUAUUGAGAGAUGAUAAUCUCACAGAGGAAAAAGAAAAGCAGUGAUCACCUGCGAACAAAUAAUAUCCUCAUAAGAAGAAAAUAUCACACUGAUAGAAGAAGUUAAUGAAGCAUCCACUGCCAAUUUGGAGUCUUUCUUUUCCUGUACUUUUGUGUUCUGAGAAAACAUGGAUAGCACAGGUAGUGGUAUGAGGAGAUCCUUCACCUUGAACUCUGCUUCCAACACCAGCCACCAGUCACUGGUGGCCAAGGACUGCCAGCCCCUGGAGAGCAGCCCUAGCCCUGCACAGGAUGGGCUGAGCGCUCCCCGCCCAGCACCCAGGUGAGAAACACAAGAACCACGACUUUGCUGCUGGUCACAAACCCCAGCAGGACAUUUGGCUAUGAAACCAGGAAUCUGCCAUGGUAUGACAAAGUAUUUUCUGACUGCUUUCCAGAUUAGUUUUGAGACAAGGCAGCAUAUGGAAGCUUACUUGGUUGCAGCAGCCUCUGCCUGCUCUGUGAAUCUCUGCCAACUGACUGACAUUACAUGUCUAUCACCAGCUCUAAAAUUCACAUACACCAAAUGUAUAUUGUCUAUUUCACCUACUGCAGAGCUGGAGCCUCCAGCUUCCGGGAGAUCAAAUAUCAUCAGCCUUCCCUUUCCAUGCAGAGUAAACAACCUUUUUUUUCUGACAUUGCUUUCAAAUGCUGUGACUACAUCCAGUUGCUGCAUUUCAUUAAGGCAUCAUCUUUGAUGUACUGCUAAUACACCAAUUCAAUGAAAUAUUAAGAUAAAAUGACCUCGUGUUGGCUAGCAGAAGAUGGCACAGUGGGAUGUAGGAACUGGAAGUGCUCAGACUAUUUGCAGUGGCUCCAUCUGGAGAUGUGAUGAGUUACAUAUCUCAAAAUAAAAGACUCUCCAUUUAACCUCAAUUAUCAAGAUAAAAGAAUAUACUGUUUAAAGCAAGAGCAAAUAUCAAAGAAGUCACAAAAUGAGCAUCUCUAAAAGAAAGGUGUAGUCUCAAUCUUUCACAUUACUUUAAAUGAAAUAAUUUGAGCUCUCUAGUCAGCAAGUCUUUUUUAUUAAUACAUGUGGUCAUUCUGAUUUUCCCCUCAUUACUUUCCAGAAAUAUAGAAAUGAUUACAAGAGCCCUCCAUACUUGUUACCAGUUAUUAACACCUGUCCUUCAGCACUGUCUAAAGAUCCAGCAAGAGAUGAAGAACAGCUCUGGCAAAUGCUGCUGUACACAAAAGCAGUAAAAUAUAAUUCCCAUGCCAAAUAUCUGCAAUGAGGGACAGACAGGGAUGUCACAAAUGAAAUAAUCUUGUUAAGUCCAUUCAAUUGUACUGGUAUGUUCAACAUGCUCUUGGUAUUGCUCUUCUCCUUUUCGUUAUUUAUUUCUGUUAAAUAAAUAAGAGAAAACUUA